CAGUAGCCACGGGAAUACGGAGGGUGCAAGCGUUAUCCGGAUUCACUGGGUUUAAAGGGUGCGUAGGCGGAUCUGUAAGUCAGUGGUGAAAUCUCCAGGCUUAACCUGGAAACUGCCGUUGAUACUAUAGGUCUUGAAUUUUGUGGAGGUUAGCGGAAUAUGUCAUGUAGCGGUGAAAUGCAUAGAUAUGACAUAGAACACCAAUUGCGAAGGCAGCUGGCUACACAACUAUUGACGCUGAGGCACGAAAGCGUGGGGAUCAAACAGGAUUAGAGACCCGUGUAGUCCCUGUCUCUUAUAC
rnacentral:rRNA from 1 species